GCCGGGCGCGGUGGCAUGCGUCUGUAAUCCCAGCUACUCGGAAGGCUGAGCCCGGAGGAUGGCUUGAGUCCAGGAGUUCUGGGCUGCAGUGCGCUAUGCCGAUCGGGUGUCCGCACUAAGUUCGGCAUCAAUAAGGUGACCUCCCGGGAGCAGGGGAACACCAGGUUGCCUAAGGAGGGGUGAACCGGCCCAGGUGGGAAACGGAGCAGGUCAAAACUCCUGUGCUGAUCAGAAAAGUUGGCAACUGUUUUGGGCAAUAACUUUAUAUCUUGAAAAUAAUCUUUCCCCAUAUUUA
ensembl:misc_RNA Metazoa_SRP Metazoan signal recognition particle RNA